rnacentral:lncRNA from 1 species
AUUAUACAUAUCACUCAAAGGAUAUAAACAAAAUACAUAAUACAUUAUGAUUUGGUGCUUUGUAUAUUAUUCAAAAAUAAAACUUGGUUUGAUUACAGAAAGAAGAAGAAGUGACAUUAUUGCAAAUACAAUAACGCUCAAAAGUGACAAAAAUGACAAAGAAAUUAACAACUAUAAGUCAUUGUAAGGAAUUCAUCAAUGAACAAAAUCCCAUACCGUACAGUCAGCUAGACAAGGCGCAGAAAUUGCAAAAUAUUUCCGGGUGCCACUUGUAGCAAUUGUGUUGUGGGCAUUUUUGAAACCAGAGUGUAAUAAACAUAUUCAUUUGAUUGACGAAAUUAUUAUCUUUUUGUAAUGACAAUUAUAUGUCUUCGUUCCUUUAAUUUGACGUUGACCAACGUCGUGAUCGUGGUGAUAAUUGUAUUCAUUUUCGUACAUAAUUUGCGUAAUAAUCAGCUUCUUUAAUAUUACAUUGGAAGAUAUAUAAUUAUAUAAAGUACAAUUUUUAAAUAAAAAUAUAACAAUGUUAGUAGUUCUGAUUAUAUAAUCUUACAUGACAUUAUGUUCAGCUCAAAUAUUCGACAAAGGCCAGGCUUCAACGCAAUACAAGGAAGAAAUAAGAAAAGAAACGUACAGUGGAAAUAGACUGCGACAAAAAGAGCUCAUCAUAUCAUUUUGCAUCUCGUUCAAAUCAUGAACGAUUUAAAAAAAAACAAUCUAUAACUCUUUAACUCUAUAAAAAGAAUUGCUUCGUCCGUGGUCCAUUUCGAAAGAAAACAGACCCGGAAAGCUAGC